rnacentral:lncRNA from 1 species
UCAAAACACCUUCAAGCUUAAAUAUUUUACCAUUUUGGGUCGGAUAAACGUUUUGGGUGUAGAAAUUUCGGGUUUUCGGCUUGAAUUUUCCGGCAUUUUCAACGGCGCGUUUACGUACGCGUUGCGAAGAGUGAGGAAAAUUGGGGUAGCGUUAAAAGGGGUGCUGGAAACUACGUCGUUACAGUAUGGUGAGUAUGGGAUCUGAGGGAGUUCGGAAACUCCAAGGAAGGAGUUAAGGGAAAGGAGAAGGAGUAAUAGAAGAAGAGGACUAAAUUGGAAUUUUCGUGAUGGGUUUGUUGCGAAUACGGGAAAGUUUGAAUCUGGAGCUAGGGUUUUGCAAUGGAGCUGGAGCUGAGGAAUUCUUCGUUGUUAUGAGAUGUUCAUGGAGCAGAGCGGAGAGACGGAGACUUCAAUGGUUGAUCAAGUAAAUAUUGCUGACAUUUAUAUACACCUGAAUCAGUCUCAUUUCCU